CAGCAGCCGCGGUAAUACGUAGGCAGCGAGCGUUGUUCGGAAUUACUGGGCGUAAAGAGUGUGUAGGCGGUGCUAUAAGUUCGGUGUGAAAUCUCCCGGCUCAACUGGGAGGGUGCGCCGAAAACUGUAGUGCUCGAACGUGGGAGAGGAAAGCGGAAUUCCUGGUGUAACGGUGAAAUGCGUAGAUAUCAGGAGGAACACCUGCGGUGUAGACGGCUUUCUGGACCAUUGUUGACGCUGAGGAGCGAAAGCGUGGGGAGCGAACAGGAUUAGAUACCCGCGUAGUCCCUGUCUCUUAUAC
rnacentral:rRNA from 1 species